rnacentral:lncRNA from 1 species
GUCUGUCUGAAGUCCGUUAGUCUUCAAUCAAAACUUCAAGACUUUUUCUGCCGGUCAUGAAGAUCUCUUUUCUGCUGGUGGUGCUUUUGUUGGGCUCUUUGCUGGCAUUCGAUUUGGGUGAUGCUCAUCGUCAUCGCCGAUGUCGUCGUCAUCGUCACAGACGUCACCGUCGUCAUCGACAUCAUGGUUGAGCUCUGCAUAAAGGUUGACGAGAAAACGUCACUGCUUCGGCUCGAUGUGUAUUUGAUUCAAUAAACUCUGUUAGUUCAAC